AAGAGAAGAGCCUGCGAGAUUAGCCAAGGUGACUGCCUGGCAGCCUAACAGGAAUUUGGCACAAUAUUAAUGUGAAGAAGCUGCAGAUUAAUUAAUUAUAGGUAAAAGCUCAUGAAACUGGAGGCAGGCAAGUCAUCCUUGGCUACCAAACAAGACUCUUUCCU
rfam:Prunus persica cultivar Lovell chromosome G3, whole genome shotgun sequence.